CAAAGUGUAGCUAACUAGAAAAGCAUCCCUCUUACACUGAGAAGUUACCUGUGCAAAUCAGGUCACCUUGA
rnacentral:tRNA from 1 species